GAUGAACGCUAGCGGGAGGCUUAACACAUGCAAGUCGAGGGGCAGCACGAUGUAGCAAUACGUUGGUGGCGACCGGCGCACGGGUGAGUAACGCGUAUGUAACCUACCUUGUACAGGGGGAUAGCCCGGAGAAAUUCGGAUUAAUACCCCAUAAUGAUAUUUGAAGGCAUCUUUAGAUAUUUAAAGUUUCGACGGUACGAGAUGGGCAUGCGUGACAUUAGCUAGUUGGUAAGGUAACGGCUUACCAAGGCUACGAUGUCUAGGGGUCCUGAGAGGGUGAUCCCCCACACUGGUACUGAGACACGGACCAGACUCCUACGGGAGGCAGCAGUGAGGAAUAUUGGUCAAUGGGCGUAAGCCUGAACCAGCCAUCCCGCGUGAAGGAAGAAGGCGCUAUGCGUCGUAAACUUCUUUUCCGGAGGAAUAAAAUUUCGUACGUGUACGGGACUGAAGGUACUCCGGGAAUAAGCAUCGGCUAACUCCGUGCCAGCCGCCGCGGUAAAAC
rnacentral:rRNA from 1 species